GAGGAAAAAAAAAAUGGCUAAAAUUAUCAAGUUUGUGUAUGAUAUAAUACUAUUUUUUUUCAUAUUUAUUCUUUCGACGGAAGGACUUAAUUUACCUAUGGUAUGUGACAUAGAUGCCGAUUGUCCGAAGUCUGAAGACUACUAUUAUGAGUUAAUGUGCAUUCUUCACAAAUGUAUAUUUGUUUUCAAACUAGACCCAGAGCCCGGUUUGGGAAGGAUAAUACACUAGCUUAUAGUUUAUAAGUUAAAAGCUCGGCUUGGAGGAAGUAAUAAACUUCUUUGCUCCCGUUUUGAUGGAUGUCCGGAUAAUGAUAUGGCGUGUUGCAUGGAUUGUUCAAAUAGUGGCUAUCGUGGCCAAUGUUAUGGAGAUUUUUGUUGUUGUGAUGACUCACUCAACCCUAUGCUAGACAUACUAUGUUUUGAAAAGCCAGUGUGAAAUAAUAAAUACAAUAAUUUUGGUUUAAAAUAUCUUGUUAUAUGCUUCCUCUCUUUCAAUAUGUGUAAAAGAGCUUAUGCAAAAUUCUGUUGUCCUAUUUA